rnacentral:rRNA from 1 species
AUGCACGCUAGCGGCAGGCCUAAUACAUGCAAGUCGGACGGGAUUCAGGAGCUUGCUUCUGAUGAGAGUGGCGCACGGGUGCGUAACACGUAUGUAACCUACCUUUAUCAGGGGGAUAGCCUCUCGAAAGAGAGAUUAAGCCCGCAUAAAAUCACAGCACAGCAUUGUGUAAUGAUCAAAUAUUUAUAGGAUAAAGAUGGGCAUGCGGAACAUUAGCUAGAUGGCGGGGUAACGGCCCACCAUGGCGACGAUGUUUAGGGGAUCUGAGAGGAUGGCCCCACACACUGGUACGGAGACACGGACCAGACGCCUACGGGAGGCAGCAGUAAGGAAUAUUGGUCAAUGGGCGGAAGCCUGAACCAGCCAUGCCGCGUGCAGGAAGACGGCCCUACGGGUUGUAAACUGCUUUUAUACGGGAAUAAACCCAGAUACGUGUAUCUGGCUGAAUGUACUGUAAGAAUAAGGAUCGGCUAACUCCGUG